ensembl:snRNA U1 U1 spliceosomal RNA
CAGUUGAUCAAGUGUAGUUACAGGGUGAGGCUUGCCUCUUGCACUCCAGACCAGCUGACCCCUGCAAGAUUCCCCAAAUGCAGGAAACUCUAGCACACAAUUUUGUGGCAAUGGGGGACUGCAUUCUCAUUUUCCCCAU